GUGCUGCUGGCAUUAGCGGCACAUAUACUAAAAUCGGAAUAAUACAGAGAAGAUUGGCACGGCUCCUGGGUGAGGAUGACAUGAAAAUUCAUGAAGCUUCAUGUUUUU